UUAACUAAAUACUAACAAUAUUAUUUGACAAUAGUUUUUUUAAAUGACGAGGAGACAUGUGAAAGAGAUCGACAUCCAGAUUCAAAUGGACUAAGUUAAACGAAGAGCAUGAGUAUAAAGGCUCUUUUUUUGCUAAAUGUGUACUACAUGUUUGUAAGUAAAAAUGUUUUAUCUUCUAGUAUUAAUGUAAGGCCGAACAAAGUAUAGAGCUGCUGGCAAGUCCAAGCAGUUAAUACGACCAUUACAUAAUUUGAAAAGAAAAAGCAAACCAACACAAAUAAUUUCCUGAUGAAGGGAAAGCAUAUGAGUGCUGAUCGUAUCCUUGUUCAGGGUAAACUUUAUUUAAUUUAAAAAUCAGUUUUAAAAGCGAUAUGUUUCAGAAAUGUACGUUGAACAAAUUCAAGUCUAACACUGUGAACAGUAUAGUGUGUAUACCAGAUUCUACUUCAUAUAUUAGUGAAGUCUGAUGUCGCUCUUAUAAUAAAACCAAGAGCUUGUAAAGAUGACUAUGAUGUUAUCUAUAUUGCAAAAAUUAAGCUUCUUGUCAAUAGUGAUAUCCAAAUCACGAACAUAAUCACAGUUAGAAAGAAUUGUACCAUUUAAUGUAUGGUACAAUUCUUUCAAAAUGUAUAUUCGAAGCUAAUUUCAUUUUUCAGCAAAGAAAUUGAAAUUUUUACACUUUUCAAUAUUAAAAGGAAGCCUAAUAAUCUUACACCUAGAUUAAAUUAAGAUCGCCUUGGAGAAGCAAACAGUUUUCUCAAAUAGUUAUAAUGCGAAAUAUCUUUAGGUUGACAGCAAACAAAAGGCAAUUGCCUAAAGGUUUAACAGAGAUGUCAUUGAUAAAAAUGGAAAACAAAAGAGGAGCAAGAUUGCUACCCUCAGUAGGACCGCUAUCUGCUUUAUAAACAUAUGAUCUAAACCUAUUAUAUUCUACAAACUGGUGUCUAUCUGCCAGAUAGGAGGCAAGAAAUUCUACAAGAUUAGAAUGAAAACGAAGCCUGUUUUGACGGAGAUAUCACUUGGCUAGUAAUAUCGUUGAUACUCCGUAGUCAACGAUAAAAUCCGUCAAAAAUAUGUGAAGCUUUUUUUACAAUAUUUAAUGUUAACUUAUUUUUAGUAGUUUCAAUAAAGUUUUUUAUACAUUUACUCCAUUUUGUGCUAGGUAAUAACGCAUAGUUAUAUAUUUCCUGUCUAUAUCAUAAAUAUUUUUCUAAUAAUUAAACUGAACAAAAAAUAUUUUAAAAAUUUGCUAAUACAGGAAAGUAAAAAAUCAUACUCGACUAUCAAAAAAUAGGAAAGGUUGGAUAUAAAGAGCUACUAUCUACAAAAAAAGAUGUACAUCAAAGUUUAAAUUUACUUUAUAAAACUUAUAAUUUAAGCGCCUUUAAAGUGAUUUCAUAUUUAAUAAAGAUGAAAUUUCCUUUUUUACUUUUUUUACUGGAUUCAGCCUCUAAAGCAGCAAAUGCCUGCACAACCAAGUAAAUUUUUACACAAAAUUAUCGACGUACGCAAAAUAUAUGAUUAUUAUUACCGUUAGCUAUGUUUUUAAAUUUUUUUAUUAAUUAUUAAUUAAUUGAUAGAGAUAUAAUAGAAAACAUUUUCAAAAAUUGUGAAAACAAAAUUGUUACUGUCCAAAAACAAUAACCUCAAAAAAACCUGUUUAUUCCUAAUAAGCUACACCACCGUCUCUCGCUAGUACGAUGUGCUCGAGAAAAUCUUUACGUUGCGUCGGCCGGCCCCAGAACGGUCGGAAAGAGAAAAUCAUGAAAUGUGUAAAGGCGGGUCGCUCCGGACACCUGUUAGAAAUCCCUGUCUAUUGGUGCCUACCACAGAUGUAAAUACUGUAAAUUUAUAUAUGUAAAUAUAGAUGUAAAUUUAUAUUUACAUCUGUGGGUGCCUACACACACAGAACACAAAUAUAUAGCCUACACACUUACCGGCGGCCUGAUUAUUCGAUAUGACUGAUUCUAAAUAAAAUGUUCAGUCGUGAGUGUCUUGCGGAUUGCCUAGUUUUUAACGAUUUGUCGACGACACGCUUGGGUAUAUCGUAUACACCAGACGAUAUAGCUUCUUCCUUUUUUAAUACGUGCAUAAUGUAACAGCAUCCUUUUUUAAACGUAUUUGUUUCAUUUAUUGUUUAUCCAUAGUUAUACCAGGUUUUCAUUAGUAUAUUAAAAGCUUUCUUAAACACAACAACUAAUAGAUUUAAUUCUACCCUAUUUUUCACAACCUUUUGUUAAUAAUAGGCAGAGGAAGUAGAGUUACCAUUGAAUGGGCUGUUUUGGUAUGUUAAGAUUUUAUGCCACAGAUUGUUACCAAAGAAGCAUUUGAGAAGAUUUUAAAUUUGGAAUUAGCGAAACUACAAGUCGUUGGAUCCAUAAAAUUACUGAAAUUAUUGACAAUCACCUUGCUGACCAAUUCAUUAAUUUUUCAAAUAUAAGAGAUGAGAGACAAAUUAAUAAAUUAACAUUUAUAGAGAGAUCCAAUUUUUCUUGUGUUAAGCCGCGUCCAGAUCUGUACCACGUCGCGCAACCGUACCACGUCGCGUACCACGAUGCGAGCAGAAAACCCACGUUCACGUACGCCGUACCGAACAACGCUUCGCACCUCGCAUUGCAACCGUUUGUGCGAUCCAUUUUACUGAUAUUUUAAUUUUUGUCAGUGGUUAAUUUAGCGUUCAGAAUCGAUGUUGCUGCUGCUCUCCCUUCGAAAUGAGGAAAGCAAAUUAGUUAUCUUCUUUUUAAUUUCAUCCACCGUUGUAUUCCAUAAACAUUCAUGAUGCCUAUAGAACGCAAUUAAAGAGAUAUACGCUGGUCAGUCCACUCCAUGACACCUGCCGAUAGCCAAAAUAAAACUAAAAUAAAGAAUCGUGUCGUACGGUUUCGUCGUUCGUUUCCCGUCCAGACUUGCUUGGCAUCGUCGCGUACCAAUCCUUUGGUGUUUCGUCAGAAAACCGACUCGCCCUGGAUCGCGACGAGCGCCGAGCUGCAACAUUUUUUAAGUUCGCGACGGCGUUCGUUUCGACGUCCAAAUGGGUCGCGACGUGGUACAGAUCUGGACGCGGCUUUAUAGGUAGGUCCUAUUGAUUUCACCCAUGUUGCCAUAUUAAAGCCAAAAGUGGAUGAACACAACAAGUUUUUGUGAUUUUCCAUGAAUUAAAUUAUUAUUUUCCUAUGGGUAGCGGUGGUUUUAAACCACUUUUUUUAUUUUAAAGAAAUAAUAUGGGCAUAUAUUUAAAUAAAAACACACGGAGGCGAAAAAAAUUAACAGAAUAAAUUCUUAGUGUUUACCAAUAAAAAAGACAAUUGAUGUUUGCAUCUGUCAAAUAUUAGGGAAAAUAACAAAUAUAUACCAAGAAACCUAAAUCAAAUUGAAUAAAACGAGUUUAGCCGACGAUUGAAAUUUAGAAUCACCUUUCUCGUUACGACUGAGUCGCGAUCGAAUUCGAAGUCGUGAUCGUAUCGAGAUCGAGUCAUGAUUUUAGAAUCCCAGCCCUAGUUGCGGCCUGUCGUAUUUUUUAACACACACUAAAAUUAUCAUCGCCAACACAGCUGUUUGACGCUAUUGCUAUAUUAUAUUACUUUUCAAAGUGCGCGAGUGUCUUUGUAUUAAGAUGUUUUUUACCAAACGAAAGUUCUUUAGUAUCUUUUUAAAGCUCUUAUUUUGUUGACUGACAUUAAGCCUAAAAAUAUGAGGCAUGUAUGGGUGAAGGAGUGGCUUUUAAAAAGAGGGGAACUAUCACAUAUAAAUUUAAUUCGGAUUUUAAGAAGGUCCUGUUCGGAAGAUUUUAAAAACUAUUUAAGAAUGAUUGAUGCAUGUUACCAGCAGUUGCUUAAGCUCGUCAAACCAUACAUUAAAAAAAAAUAUACUAAAAUGAGACAGGCUAUUAGCGCUGAAGAAAGACUAAUAGUUACCUUAAGAUAUCUGGCCACUGGUCGUACAUUGGAAGAUUUAAAAUUCUCAGCCAUUAUUUCUUCUCAAGCUUUAGGUCUAAUAAUUCCGGAAACAUGCAAAGCUAUGCCAAGGCAGUGUAUCCUUAAAGAAGACAUUCUUAAAGAUGCCAAAGACUCAAGAAGACUGGCAAGAAAUAGCAAAACAUAUAGAAAACAGAUGGAAUUUUCCUAACUGUGGCGGUUCUCUAGACAGAAAACACAUAAGAAUAACCAAGUCAUCCAAUAGUGGAUCGUACUAGUACGACUAUAAAAACUAUUUUAGUGUCGUUUUAAUCACCUUGGUGAACGCAGAUUACGAGUUUCUAUGCGUGAAUGUUGGAUGAAAUGGACGAAAUUCCGAUGCAGGAGUUAUUGAAUCUACACAAUUUUUUGACAAACUUAAAUAAAAUAAAUUAAAAUCACACAAAGAAGAAUAUGAACUUUGUUUUUGUUUCUGAUGAUGCCUUCGCUUUACAUCCAAAUGUAUUAAAACCUUACAGUGACAAGAACUUAAUACAUGAAGAGCGUAUAUUUAAUUAUAGAUUAUCCCGCGUCAGGCGAACUGUUGAAAAUGCCUUUGGAAUUUUGGCUAAUAGAUUUAGGGUAUUUCAUACACCAAUAAAUAUGAAAGUUGAGAAAAUUAUAUUGAUUGUCUUGGCUGCGUGUGCCUUACACAAUUUUCUUAGGCGGAACAAUGGUGGCUAUUAUAUUCCUAAGAACACCGUAGACUCUGAAGAUCUUGAAGGCGGUACAAUCAAUAAGGGCUCAUGGAGAACAGAUGCUACAACCUUAGAUGGACUAAAAGGUUGCAAAACGCGAAAUUUUUCAAAAGAAGCGAAGGAAAACCGUGAGUCAUAUAAGAACUACUUUAUGGGGGAUGAAAAAGUAUCUUGGCGAAAUAAUCUUAUAUAGUUAUCAUUAUAUUUUUUAUUUUAUGUAUUAAAAUGUAUGUCUUUGAUUUUUAAAACAAUAUUGGCAGGCUAAGUUUUGAUAAAUGUUCCGAAAGAUUUGACAAACAACAUACUUAGAAUCGUAAGAAAUCCCAUGAGAGUAAUGAGAAAAAUGUUUUUAAAAAUCGGCCAACUUUGUUGUUCAGCGGUCCAUGUGGCGUUUAUAGUGGAAAAAGUUAAAAUUAGGGUUGUGUUUUAUUUUGUGUCUGUGCAUUAGGCAAAAUACCAGGUGCGAAACUAUUUUUUUU